rnacentral:rRNA from 1 species
AUGGAAGCCUGGACUCGUGAAAUCAGGCUUGCUGAAGAUGUGGACAAGCUCAAACUUGAGAUGAAGUACGUGGAGAUGGUUCUUGCUGCUGCAAAGGGUAGGAGGAUCGACAACCAGCCUCUGGCCCAGUCACUGGAUGAUCUCAUAGAGCUGCUUUAUGACUCGGAGGAUGUGAUGGACGAGCUCGACUACUACCGACUCCAGCAACAGAUCGAACAAGGGAAAGGCUGUAGUGCACCUGCAGGCACUAAUCCUGAGGGAAGCUAUGUGCCCUCAUCCUCUUCUGUUGCUAAAUUAUUACGCAGCGCCACAAGCCAAAUAACUGAUUGGAUCUCGCGUGUCAGAAAAAGUAAACGUGAAGAGGAGGGGCCAUCUCAUUGUAACAUGCCGCCUUUUCAGAUUAAAGAUAGCAUUUCUAAGAGGAUCAAUGAAACAGUGAAUCUUCUGCACAGUAAUGGAAAUUUUGUGCAGAGGGCUCUUCAGCUUGAGACCUUGCCAGAAUAUUCAAGUAAGAGUCAGAAUAUUGCCAGGAAUGCUGGCAUGACAACUUCUCUUUCAACUGAAUGUCAGGUGUACGGGAGGGAUGCAGAAAGAGACAUGAUAAUAGACCUGUUGAUAAAGGGGGGAUCUGGUGAUCUGAAUGUUUUGCCAGUGAUAUCUUAG